AAGGAUCCUGUUUGAAAUGUUGAGAGACAAGAAGCCUGAAAACAAACAGAAACACGUCCCACUUCCUGUCAUUAACCGGCAUUAACAGCGAGGAUGAAGCAGCACAGAACCUGAAGGCUGCUGUUUUUAUAAAACCAUUUCACUGUUCUGCCGAGACCUCCAAGCUGGACCUCUCUGGACCACCAAGCCUGAUCCGGGUGCUUUCUUUAAACCUGAAGUUCUUAAAGCUCCUUACUGAUCCUGGUCUUUUACCUGCUUUUUGUAACAUAACAAUGAGUAAGGUCUUUGCACUCUGACCCUGAGGACCAAUCAGACGCUUCACUCAGUCUCUAGCUGUUUAUUCAUUCUGCUCUUUUCUCCCUCACAGUUCAAA